rnacentral:rRNA from 1 species
AUUGAACGCUGGCGGCAGGCCUAACACAUGCAAGUCGAGCGGAUGAGGAGAGCUUGCUCUCUGAUUUAGCGGCGGACGGGUGAGUAAUGCCUAGGAAUCUGCCUGGUAGUGGGGGAUAACGUUCCGAAAGGAACGCUAAUACCGCAUACGUCCUACGGGAGAAAGCAGGGGACCUUCGGGCCUUGCGCUAUCAGAUGAGCCUAGGUCGGAUUAGCUAGUUGGUGAGGUAAUGGCUCACCAAGGCGACGAUCCGUAACUGGUCUGAGAGGAUGAUCAGUCACACUGGAACUGAGACACGGUCCAGACUCCUACGAGAGGCAGCAGUGGGGAAUAUUGGACAAUGGGCGAAAGCCUGAUCCAGCCAUGCCGCGUGUGUGAAGAAGGUCUUCGGAUUGUAAAGCACUUUAAGUUGGGAGGAAGGGCAGUAAGUUAAUACCUUGCUGUUUUGACGUUACCGACAGAAUAAGCACCGGCUAACUUCGUGCCAGCCGCCGCCGUAAGAC